rnacentral:tRNA from 1 species
GUCUGGCUGACUCAGUCAGUGGAGUGUGAGACUCUUGAUCUCGGGGUCGUGAGUUCAAGUCCCACACUGGGUG